UGUUGUUUAAACCUAUUUAUUCAUGAAAUUUUACAAAUAUUUUAAAACGUAGUAUUUGGAAACAAGCUUCACACAGUUUACAUUAAUCAUAUUGGUUUUUUUUAUUAGUACCUGUACCCGUGUGAUGAGAGUUUUAACUGGGAACUUUAUCACUGGAAAUUUAAAACUGAAUAGAUUUUUCAGUCCUAACUUUCUUAAGAAAAAAAAUUAAAAUCUUAAGAGUACUGUCACAAAAAAAUGGAAAAUGGCCCUAGCCUGCAGUUCAGUCGUACACUAUUAAGAUUUCAAAAAAUAUUGUAGUUGUUGUUAAAUGACCAAAUUCAACUAGUUGAAUUUUAGAUAAUUAACUAUCAACUUUAAUUG
rnacentral:lncRNA from 1 species